UUGCAGCUACUUAAGCCGACCAGCUUUUGCCGUUAUCAGAAGGUGGUGUGCAAUGGCUGCAUACAGCAAUAUCCCAGGUUGUGUAUGUGCUUUGUGUCGCUGUACAAAGUGCUGUAAGGGACCUCGGAGACACUU